GCCUCACUCACUCAACUCCACACUGCCACCCUCCACCCACCUACUCUUAUAUACACUAUUUUGCUUUUUAUAGCCCUGUCGUGUCUAUGGAUAUUAACCAUAGCAUAAGAAAAAAGGAAUACAGUGGUACUAAGAGGAAUAAAACUGAAAGUCUGAAUGUUAAGAGAAAAACAAGAAAACUAUGUGAGGGAAUAUUAGCCCCAGUUGUAUUAACUAUGACCAUUUUCUCUGGAAGGAGUGCAGGCAUUUUUUUUAUGGAAUACACAAUAACAAAUACAUGCUUCUGUCAAUAACCUUACUCAAGUUUAUUAAAUUAUUAUUAUUUAGGUUUUGGGUACAGUCACGCAAUUUUAUUUUUACAAUGGUCCUGAUGGCCCCAUGUUAUGAUCACAGAAAAUACAUUAUGCAAAUUUAACCUCCUUGGAUAACUCAUGCAAGUCAAACAUUGUAAACAUUUGAGAGUCUAAACCUCACUACAUCCACCUAAGCCUAGCAUGUCAACACACACCCUCUCCACACAUUUCAAGAUCAACAAGAAACGACAUCUACAAUGUAAAUAAUCAAAA